CCUACGGGUGGCAGCAGUGGGGGAUAUUGCACAAUGGGGGAAACCCUGAUGCAGCGACGCCGCGUGUGGGAAGACGGUCCUCUGGAUUGUAAACCACUUGCACACAGGACGAAGAUGACGGUACCUGGGGAGGAAGCUCCGGCUAACUACGUGCCCGAAGCCGCGGUAAUACGCAGGGAGCGAGCGUUGUCCGGAAUUACUGGGGGUAAAGGGAGCGUAGGCGGGGAUGCAAGUUGAGUGUCAAAACGACCGGCUCAACUGGUAGUCGCACUCAAAACUGCAGCUCUUGAGUGAAGUAGAGGCAGGCGGAAUUCCUAGUGUAGCGGUGAAAUGCGUAGAUAUUAGGAGGAACACCAGUGGCGAAGGCGGCCUGCUGGGCUUUUACUGACGCUGAGGCUCGAAAGUGUGGGGAGCAAACAGGAUUAGAUACCCCUGUAGUC
rnacentral:rRNA from 1 species